rnacentral:rRNA from 1 species
CCUACGGGUGGCAGCAGUGGGGAAUAUUGGGCAAUGGAGGCAACUCUGACCCAGCAACGCCGCGUGAAUGAUGAAGGUCUUCGGAUUGUAAAGUUCUGUGAUGGGGGAUGAACACAAUGACGGUACCCCAAUAGCAAGCCACGGCUAACUACGUGCCAGCAGCCGCGGUAAUACGUAGGGGGCAAGCGUUAUCCGGAUUUACUGGGUGUAAAGGGAGCGUAGACGGUUAUGUAAGUCUGGAGUGAAAGCCCGGGGCCCAACCCCGGGACUGCUUUGGAAACUGUGUAACUGGAGUACAGGAGGGGCAGGCGGAAUUCCUGGUGUAGCGGUGAAAUGCGUAGAUAUCAGGAGGAACACCGGCGGCGAAGGCGGCCUGCUGGACUGAAACUGACGUUGAGGCUCGAAAGCGUGGGGAGCAAACAGGAUUAGAUACCCCGGUAGUC